rnacentral:rRNA from 1 species
GACGAACCGUGCGAACGUUGUUCGGAUUCACUGGGCUUAAAGGGCGCGUAGGCGGGAGGUCCCGUCCGAGGUGAAAUCUUUCGGCUCAACCGGAAAAGUGCCUUGGAGACGGAUCUCCUCGAGGGAGGUAGGGGCAUGUGGAACUUCCGGUGGAGCGGUGAAAUGCGUAGAUAUCGGAAGGAACGCCGGUGGCGAAAGCGACGUGCUGGACCUCUUCUGACGCUGAGGCGCGAAAGCCAGGGGAGCAAACGGG